rnacentral:rRNA from 1 species
UAGGGAAUAUUGGACAAUGGGCGAAAGCCUGAUCCAGCAAUGCCGCGUGAGCGAUGAAGGCCUUAGGGUUGUAAAGCUCUUUUACCCGGGAUGAUAAUGACAGUACCGGGAGAAUAAGCUCCGGCUAACUCCGUGCCAGCAGCCGCGGUAAUACGGAGGGAGCUAGCGUUGUUCGGAAUUACUGGGCGUAAAGCGCACGUAGGCGGCUUUUCAAGUCAGGGGUGAAAGCCCGGGGCUCAACCCCGGAAUAGCCCUUGAAACUGGAAGGCUAGAAUCACGGAGAGGUGGGUGGAAUUCCGAGUGUAGAGGUGAAAUUCGUAGAUAUUCGGAAGAACACCAGUGGCGAAGGCGGCCCACUGGACGUGUAUUGACGCUGAGGUGCGAAAGCGUGGGGAGCAAACA